CUCCAAGUCACCCUCCUGUCCCCUUACCUGCAUAGGAAGACACAGGAGAAAUCUGUAGAGGGUAGAGCUCGCUCAUGCUGACUGGCUGGUCAUCACUCUCGGUGGUCACUUCUACAACCUGGCAGAUGUCUGGCGGGAAGGUGCCAUGAUUACUUUCAGGAAUCUGUGGUCCAGACAGACGCUGUCAAGCCUUCACAGGAAGGCAAAGACACAGCAGUCCACUCACUGAGCCAUUUCUGGCUGAAUGGAAAGGGGAAGGAGGCUCUGUUUACACUGUCUCCUGAUCUGAAGGUAGCCGACUGUCCAAACUACCAGAGCAACGCAGCAGGGCCUAGAUUCUAACAAACGGUAAUAGCAUUAACUGCCUACACACCGAGAGGAUGAAUCUAAUUAAGCUUGGUCUUCUAUUUUUUGUUAAUUCAAGUCUUUAUUUUGGUGAAGAGAACAAACAGUGGAAUACCCAGACUCAACCAAUACUACAACACAGCCCUACACCCAAGGCUACAGAAGAGAGGGCAGCAAGACUGUGAGAGCUAGAGGACCAUGGCAUCUACUGUGAGGCCAACUGCUCCAGAAUGGUGGGAAACAUGCUACGACCAGUGGACUAUGAUUGUGGUACCGCUAUCACAUUCUCUGGCUGUGAAGUUAAAUUCUUUGAUCAGCAGCAAUACUGUGUGGAAUACCGUGAUGGUGGAUAAGUAAGGACUGCCAACUUCGGGACCACUUCUACUUGAUAAUGGAUUUCUGCUGUACACAUCCUAUUAGGACUUGAUGGGUCAGAGGUCACCCAGCUCAUGAUGGGAAGCUCAGCCUGCAUGGUAACUUUGUGGCCGAUUGUCAAAGUUUCCACCAAGGCCCAAGAGCAAGUGAAGAACUGUUUCUCAGAGAGAGAACAGCUGUCUGCAGAUGAUGGUCCAAAAAUCCCAAAGGUCUCUUCUGUCAUUCACCUCUAGGGGUCUGACAAAGGUUCCAAAUGGCACCGACACCCCAAGUGCCAUUAAUUCUGCUGGAUCACAUGGUCCAAGGGUAGAGCAGCCUGCAUCACAGUCUGGGCCUGCUGAAGAGUCCCCUCCUGUUCCAGGCUUCAUUCAAAGUUAGCAGCUUUCCAAAUCACUUGGAAUGCAGGCUGGGGUAACGCACCCAUAUGAGGAAUAGGCUGUCUUCAGAAUCCACACAGGCCCAAUAAAACAUUCAGCACUUCUUUCUUGUUGGUAGCAAGGGCCAAGUGCAAUGACUUACUCUUCACCUCGGAAGAAGCACCUUUACCUGACACACACCACUGGACUGCCAGAAUUUUUCGUUGGAUUUACUUCUUAUCCUUUGAUGAGAAUGUGUUUCAACAGAGUCCAAAGUGGUUGCUACCACUUGCUCAUUUGGUCCAAUCAGCAUAACAUCAUUAAUAUAGUUCAUCAACAUGAUAUUUUUUGGAAGAGACAUGAUCUAGAUCUCUUUGAACAAAGUUAUAACACAGGAUGGAGAGUUCAUAUGUCCUUGAGUAAAGCUGUAAAGGUAUAUUGCUGGCCUUGCCAACUGAAGGCCAACUGCUUCUGAUGGUCCCUAUGAGCAGGUACCAAGAAAAAGGCAUUUGCUGGAUCAGCAGCCGCAUACCAUGUACAAGCAGAUGUACAUGCUCAAGUAAUCUGCUCAGAGAUAGCAACAAGCCAGACAAAAGCCGCAUAGUGGGACAACUCCGGGGGAAUCCAAAAUGGAAGAAGAAGCUGGAGGAGGAGAGUGGAAAGAGGGCUGCGAGCAGACGAGCAUUGUGGGUAAAGUGGUAAAGUCAGGCAUUCUAAGGCAUACUGGGCAUUCUUAUCAACUGGUCACACUGGGGAAUAAGAUCAAACUCUGUACAAGUCUCAUGAUCCUCUGGCAAACUCCCUUGAUCAUUCUGUCUGAAGGGCAUCACCUUGAGGUUCAGCUCAGCUUAAGGAAAACAAAACAAACAAAUGAAAAUCCUCACUGUAGGGUUUACCCAGAAGACCCCAGGGCAGGCCCACUGAGCAGAAAUUGUACCCCUUUCUCUGAUAGUGUCUUGUAUUUUCUCUCUUAGCAUCUUGUAAGUUCCAAUAGAAGGCUUGUUCUUUCAGGGAGAGGGGGAGGAACCUUAUCAGUUUUCCUUCCUUUAUGGUCAAACAUCUAAGCAAAUGCCUGCCUUUGCUAACCCCACCUUCUCAUGCACACCCUUAGGAAGGCCUAUAGUCCUAUCUCGCCCCCAUCUGCAGAAGACACGCUAAGAGGACUCUGGAAUCAGACCAGGUGACCAAGCCUGGCUCCUGUACGUCUCACUGGCUGAAUUUAACCCUUGAAUCCCCUCUUCAACCGUCUUAGUCAUGUGCGAGCUGAGAAUGGUAAUGGAAACCAUGCCAAGGGUUGAAUAGAAACUUAAAGGAGAUGAAUAUCGACAAGGCAAGGCGUUUAUUCUUAAAUAACAUUUGCUACCAUCAAAGGUCACCAAUAAAACUGUUCUUACCAAAUCCAAGGGCCCUUUCUCAAGUCCCUUCCCCUAAGCUCCAUCCUCAGGACUUUGCCUCCCUCUUGACAGCCUGAAUCACACGCAGCUACUGCGCAUGUGCACCUCACCGUAGCGCCAUCUUUUCUCCAUGGCUCUCUCAAUGGCCCCUGUUCCGUUUUCCCCUCCUCAAUCAUUUUCCACGGUCUACUUAUGUACGUCAUUUCGUCAGUUCCUCCCUAAGAAACUAAGUACAGAUCUCUAAACAAAGGACAGGAAGAACUGCUGCACAUUCCCUUUUUGUUUCCUUUUUUUUUUAAAGUCAUUCUAUUUUUAGAUUUCUUAUCAAAGUAAUAAAACAACCAGGUUUGCAUUAUUCAAAAAUUGAAUUAUUCUGACUUUGCAACAGAGACCUCUAAGUGUUUCACAUGAUCUGCAGUUUAACUACUGGUGACAAAUGAUCCUUUUGUCACUUUUUGUGAGAGAAAAAUUAUGAGUCACUACGUUAGUUUUCCAAGUUCAUGCUACUUUUAGCCUGGUGUGAUGCAGGAACUGAGCCCAGCCUUUGCUUGUGCUGUAUGUUCAAAUGCAGGAGCCUCGUCUUCUGCACCCAUCCAGAUGGAGAACAGGAUGGAUGGGGUGGGCUGCUGCUUCUCUCUGGUAUCCUGCCUGGGGCAGAACAUUCCUCUAAUGGCUAUUGAAAGACUAAUUGGAACUUGUCUUACUCCUCCUACAACCAGUCUGGGAAAACUCUCAUUGGUUCUGUCACCCCAGAGCUCCUGUUCUCAACCUGUGGGUCACGACCCACCUGGGGAGGUCAACGAUCCCUUCCCGUGGUUGGCUAUUAGAUAUUCUGCAUAUCGGAUGCUUACAUUACGGUUCAUAAAAUUAGCAAAGUUGAAGUUAUGAAGCAGCAAUGAAAAUAAUUUCACCACAACAUGAAGAACUGGUCACGGCCCUAGGAAGGUGGAGAACCACUACACCAGUGAACAAGAUGGUAACUUGUAGAACAUUAUGUGCUGGGCAGAAUCCUGACAAGCCUCCUUCCAAGUGGGCCCAGGAGAGAAGCUUCUCUAAGGACUCAACCAAAACUUCUGAAAUAAUUAGAAAUGGGUUAUCAAAAGCUAAGAGGUCAAAAAACAAGAAUAAAAGAGGUGAGGGGUUCUCUGACUUCCACUAUGUACACUAUAUACUGUGCAUAUGCAUACACACAGGCACACAAAUAGAUAUUAAGUAAUGUAAUGCAAACGACUUUACAAAAACCCUAAAUAACAUUUAAAACCCAAACUGGAAAGAGGUGUUGGUUCUCUGUGAACAGGCGCAGAGAUGGUGUAAAAGAUGGAUGGCCUGUCCUGGUCAUCUCUGGUGGCCCACUGCUGCUGUAUCAACUCUCCCUCACUCGCCCAGUCCAGUGAGUCCUGAGCAUGUUAGAGGUGCUCUUACAAGUCAGCUUACCUGAGACUGCCUAGGCUUCUCAGCCUCUUGCCUCACUCCAGCAAAAACCAACAAACAACUCUCAGGCAGAUGCCUCUGCAGUGCCUCUAACCCUGCCAACUAUUUAGGCUCAAAGACAUCUUCUGUAAUUACAGAAGAUCUGGUAUAACUUAAAGAAUUUUUAAGUAAAAGGAAACAGACACUGUAGAGAGUUUUAAGGGUGAGUGGAGGCUACCCUUAACACCGGUAAAACAGGCUCACUUUGGUUGGUCUCUGGCCUUGGCUUGUUAGAUGAGUUUGCCAUAUAGUGUGGCUUGUGAGAUAAAGCAUCCGAGGAGCCAGCAUCAGAGGAGCCCGUGGUGGGACACCUUACCCCUCUGCUCCAAGUCCCUUCUGUCUCACUGCUAUGAUAAAGCACUCUGUCUAGAUCUGUCCUCCCAGGGCCCAGUGGAAUGGCCUUCAGAAAGUUUUCCACCCCUACCGACCUCUUAUCUCAAAAUGCUCUCUCAAAGUCAAUUUGAGGGCCUCAGAUUUAAGGGUACCUCCUCUAGGUCUCUGUUAAAAGGGCCAAGCUGAGCUUCCUAAACAAAGGCAAGAACCUCCCAGGGUGCAGAGACCCACCUCAGCCUCACAGAGAACAAAAGCUGCCUGCCACAUGGCCUCCAGCCUACCCUCACCUUUCCUACCCUGAGGCAAGGCUGUCUUUACUCAUCUCUGUCUGACCAGCUUCCCCAUAGCUCAUUCUUCUCCCUUUUCUUUCCCUUCACCUCAGAGAAUUUCUGUCUUGGGAAAAAGGCCUGCCUUUAAGACUUCCAAUGUCAUUCUGGAAUAAACGUCACACCUUUGGGCCUCAGACACUCAUCAUAGAUCUGCUAGCCAGGGUUCUCCCAUUUCACUCACAAACAAGCUCCAGGCCUAAUAUUCCCUCACUGUAUCUUUCACCCGCUCCUGUCUUCACCCUGGGCUCUAUCCUAAUGGUCGCCAUCUUUGUCUAUACUUGCUACUGUGUAGUUUGUCAUUUUCUUCCUCUUACCUUGAACCACUGGGUUCCAAACCUUUGCCCCAAGUAGUUCAACUUUUUUCCCUAAAGCUCUCCAUAGAAGUGUAGACAAGACUUCCAGGCAUGGCGCUGUGUCUAGAGAGACGGAUGCACUGAGUAGAACUUCCGUAGGAUAAAGAGACUGGAGUAAUGAAGAACUAAGCAGGUCAUCCUGAGCUAGUUUAGUCUCCUUAAUAGUGAUCCUUGCCCCACACUGUCAGAACUAGCACAGUGUGACUAGUCGAUAAGAACCUUUUGAACUACGUUGCCACAGCACAACACCAGCUUCUGUCAACUCCAAAACCAAGAACGCCAUCCGACAUGAGGCCCAAGAGAAAGGUCCCCUAGCCCCCGGCAAAAGCCUCUCUGAUUCUCCCACCAAUGUGUUUUAAACUUGCCUGGACUUGGUCUUUUCUUGAUUCCCUAUAACUAUAAAAUUUCACAGAGCUUCUUCCACGGUGGACGUGGAAUUUGGGGUGACCUAAAUCUAUGCUCCAGAGCCAUGGUCACCCAGAUUUAGCUCUAGAAUAAACCAUCUAUUCUGUCCUCUAAGACGAAAGCUAUCCCUCGUGUCCACAGAAAUGACUUAGCCCACCAGUGGGGAGGGGGCGGGAAUGGCCAGUGAAGGCUCCUAACCUGCUCCAUCCUCCUAGGUGGCUUUAUCCAAAGCAGCUCUGAUUUCAAGUAGAGCGCAGAUGCAGCUCACCUGGAAUCACAGUUUCCAACCUGAAGAGUUUUCCCCAGCAAGGAAGGGGCUGCUGCCCUAACAGUCCUGCCUAAUCGGGAAUGCACUGUUGCAGGAAACACGCUUGUGAGAAAGAUCUGCAGAACAGGUACCAGCCAUUCUGUGUCUUCUACACACAUGGCUGCCCCAGAACUAACGCAGACCAGUGACUUCCGCCAAGUGACAUUAGGCCUCUUUCUAUUCUGUUUCCAUGGGAACGCUGAUGCGUUGAUCUGGAAAUGCUUGUGUUUUCAUCUGCAAACAACCCCCAAGGCAGGAAGCAUUCCUUCACAGCCACCUUACCUGUGCAUCUUUAUUUCCCAUUGUUCUCCACACAAAGUCCCUGAUUAAAUUAAGCCGGUUUCCAUAUUCAUUCGGAGAAAAACAAAUAACUCUGACCUCUAGAACUUUACUCAUGAAGCAUCCGCUCCUAGGGAAUGUGGAUUAUCUGAUCUGGGACACAUUUCCCUCCCUAGGAUCUGGCUCAAGUUCUGCAGCUUCCCAAAAGGCUGAGGCAUGAAGUUCACAAACUCCAGAAAGCUAUGCCAUCUUGGGAAAAUGACUCAGCCCCUAUGCCUGUUCUUCCUUGAUAUGGAAAAGAGAAAACCUCUGACCAUCACAGGAAGAGCUAAAUAAGGUAGUAUCAUUUAGAGGAACUAAGAAUUGCUGACACCUACUGUCCUACCUACUUUUAAGUCUUAUUGUUCUUGGUCUUGCCUAUAAGGAACAGAGCAAUCUGUUUUAGGAGAACAAUCUGUUCCAUGAUAUUUUUUGAAACACAUACAUUCACUGAUGUUCAGUCUAGGGCGUCUCACUAAUGUUUCUCUUAUUCUAAUUUCCUAAGGUUGGACAGGUAGUGCCACAGAGGCAGUUUAUUUCACUAAGCACACAGGAUAUACUCUCAGAUAAUGAUAGAAACAAAGACAUUUUAGAGGCACAUCUGUCCCAAUUAGAUGACCUUAUGAAAUGUAACUGAUGCCCAGAAAAUGAUGGGUCAGUGGUGGGCAGGACCACACUGACCAGUACUACAUAGAUGUUCACAUUCUCUGCCUUCUAUUUAAACUUUAUUUGUCUUUCCAUACCCUGAAGAUGGUGGCCUUUUGUAUCCUAAAGGUGGACCUGAGGGUUCUGUUCUUCUUGCUGUCAUAUUGAAAAACAAUCUCAAUUUUCUGCUUUCUGCUAUUAAUUUAGCUCUUUUAAGUGGCUACUGAGGAUGGGUGACCAAAUAUGGCUUGGAGAACAGGCUUCAAGUUGAAAACGUGGUCCAGCAAAUUAUUAGGACUGUGUGAAAUCUCACUGGGAAGCAAGUUUCUCGAUUGGUUGGGGGCUUUUCCUUCUCCCAGCAUGAGAUUUCUGGGAAAAUUCCCAUUUCUUUGGGGUUCGCUCUUUUAAUCAUCUGAUCACGUCUCUUCAGAAUACCUUCGUUUCUGCAGGGCCAGUUACAACCACCCCCAACCCCCACUUUAAGUCCUCAGUCUUGAGGUGGAAUUUGUCUGCGUUUAAAUGAACACAGAUAGGAACAAGGGAAGAUUAGAACUUACUUACUGUCAGCUGUGCUUGCAUAGAAAGCAUUUUCUUCUAACCCCUUGGCUUUGGGAAGAGCUGUCACAACCAACUUCAUCUUGGUUUGAGAAAAGGGUUUAUCAUAAAGCCCAGACUUGCCUCAAACUUAAUACCCUCCUGCCUCAGCCUUGUCAAGGCCAGAAUGACAGGAAAACACUACCAUGCCCAGUGUGAUUCCAUUUUAACUCUGACAACUUCCCUCCCUUAUCUCCACUUCUACUGUGUGGCCAUGGAUCUUGGAGAAACUAUUUUCCGGAAGGAGGAACAUUCAGUGAACAUGUCCGUGGCUAACAUGCCCUAAAUGUUAUUUGCUGGUUAAAACUUUAACUUGAAUUGAAGGUUGGGAAGAGCUUGCUUCAACGAUGUGUGUCACUGCGGUUGUAGGUGUGCACUGACAGUUUUCUCAGCAGGGAGCUGGCUAGUCCAGCCACUCAGGCACUUACACGACUGAAGAAUUCAGCUUGGAUAUUUUGUUUGUUCUGUUAUUGUUUGGGGUAGGGGGUGGCAGUUGGUGGCUGUUUUUAUUUCAUGAAACAGGAUUUAGUGUAGCCCAGGCUGACCUUGAACUUCCUAUGUAGCCUAGGCUUACCUUAAAAUUCCCGGCCCUUCUACCACCACGUCUGCUUCCACUCCCCAGGUACGAGGAUUAUAGGUAUACGCCUCCAAACUGGCUCAGCUCUCCUACUUUGACUCUUUUUAUUUUGUCUUUUUUUUUUCCCGGAACUGAGGACCGAACCCAG